GCAAGUCGAACGCAGUAGCAAUACUGAGUGGCAGACGGGUGAGUAACACGUGGGAAUCUGCCUUGUGGUUCAGGACAACAUUGGGAAACCGAUGCUAAUACUGGAUAAGCCCUUACGGGGAAAGUUUUAAUGCCAUAAGAUGAGCCCGCAUUUGAUUAGUUAGUUGGUGAGGUAAUGGCUCACCAAGACAAUGAUCAAUAGCUGAUCUGAGAGGAUGAUCAGCCACACUGGGACUGAGACACGGCCCAGACUCCUACGGGAGGCAGCAGUGGGGAAUCUUGCACAAUGGAGGAAACUCUGAUGCAGCGAUGCCGCGUGAGUGAAGAAGGCCUUUGGGUUGUAAAGCUCUUUUGUAGGGGAAGAUAAUGACUGUACCCUAAGAAUAAGGUCCGGCUAACUUCGUGCCAGCAGCCGCGGUAAUACGAAGGGACCUAGCGUAGUUCGGAAUUACUGGGCGUAAAGCGCGCGUAGGCCGUUGAGUUAGUUAAUUGUGAAAUCCCAAAGCUUAACUUUGGAACUGCAAUUAAAACUGCUCGACUAGAGUUUGAUAGAGGAAAGCGGAGUACAUAGUGUAGAGGUGAAAUUCGUAGAUAUUAUGUAGAACACCAGUUGCGAAGGCGGCUUUCUGGAUCAACACUGACGCUGAGGCGCGAAGGUAUGGGUAGCAAAGAGGAUUAGAUACCCUCGUAGUCCAUACCAUAAACGAUGAUUGCUAGAUGUUGGAAAUUUAUUUUCAGUAUCGCAGCUAACGCAUUAAGCAAUCCGCCUGGGGAGUACGACCGCAAGGUUAAAACUCAAAUGAAUUGACGGGGACCCGCACAAGCGGUGGAGCAUGUGGUUUAAUUCGAAGAUA
rnacentral:rRNA from 1 species